rnacentral:rRNA from 1 species
CUGACCGUGCAAAGGUAGCGUAAUCACUUGUCUCUUAAAUGGGGACCUGUAUGAAUGGCACGACGAGGGUUUAACUGUCUCCUUUUUUAAGUCAGUGAAAUUGAUCUCCCCGUGCAGAAGCGGGGAUAAUAACAUAAGACGAGAAGACCCUAUGGAGCUUUAGACACUAAGGCAUAUCACGUUAAACACCCCCAGAGAAAGGACUGAACUAAAUGACCUAUGCCCCCAUGUCUUAGGUUGGGGCGACCCCGAGGAAAUGAAAAACCCCCGAGUGGACUGGGAGAAGAAUCUCCUACAACUAAGAGCUACAGCUCUAAGUAACAGAAUUUCUGACCAAAAAAGAUCCGGCGCCGCCGAUCGACGGACCAAGUUACCCUAGGGAUAACAGCGCAAUCCCCUUUUAGAGCUCAUAUCGACAAGGGGGUUUACGACCUCGAUGUUGGAUCAGGACAUCCUAAUGGUGCAGAAGCUAUUAAGGGUUCGUUGUUCAACGAUUAAAGUCCUACGUGAUCUGAGUUCAGACCGGAG